rfam:Brachypodium distachyon strain Bd21 chromosome 3, whole genome shotgun sequence.
UAUGUACACUCUCUGUCCAACAAAAGAUGUCUCAACUUUGACUAAAUUUGAAUGCAUCUAUACACUAAGUCAUGUUUAGAUACAUUCAAAUUUAAACAAAUUUGAGACAUUUUUUGUUGGAUGGAGGGAGUACACA